AAAACUUUCAACAACGGAUCUCUUGGUUCUGGCAUCGAUGAAGAACGCAGCGAAAUGCGAUAAGUAAUGUGAAUUGCACAAUUCAGUGAAUCAUCGAAUCUUUGAACGCACAUUGCGCCCCUUGGUAUUCCGGGGGGCAUGCCUGUUCGAGCGUCAUUAC
rnacentral:rRNA from 1 species